CAAAUACUCCCUCCGUCUGGAAAUACUUGUCGGAGAAAUAGAUGUAUCUAGACGUAUUUUAGUUUUAGAUACAUCCAUUUCUCCGACAAGUAUUUCCGGACGGAGGGAAUAUUUG
rnacentral:pre_miRNA from 1 species